rnacentral:tRNA from 1 species
GGAAGUGUGGCCGAGUGGUUUAAGGCAGCGGUCUUGAAAACCGCCGGGUGUAACAGCCCCGUGAGUUCGAAUCUCACCGCUUCCG